rnacentral:rRNA from 2 species
UACGUAGGUGGCGAGCGUUAUCCGGAUUUACUGGGCGUAAAGAGCGCGCAGGCGGUCGUGCAAGUCGGAUGUGAAAUCCCCCGGCUCAACUGGGGAAGGUCAUUCGAUACUGCUCGACUUGAAGGCGGGAGAGGGAAGCGGAAUUCCCGGUGUAGUGGUGAAAUGCGUAGAUAUCGGGAGGAACACCAGUGGCGAAGGCGGCUUCCUGGCCCGUUCUUGACGCUGAGGCGCGAAAGCUAGGGGAGCAAACGGG